rnacentral:rRNA from 1 species
CCCCACUAUGCCUAAUCGUAAACUUUUACUUACAUUAAAUCGCCAGGGAACUACGAGCUAAGCUUAAAACCCAAAGGACUUGACGGUACCCCAUAUCCCCCUAGAGGAGCCUGUCCUAUAAUCGAUAAUCCACGUUUAACCUCACCAUUUUUUGUUAAUCAGCCUGUAUACCUCCGUCGCCAGCUUACCACGUGAGCGAUUUUUAGUGAGCUUAAUGUUUUUACACCAACACGUCAGGUCAAGGUGCAGCAAAUGAAAUGGGAAGAGAUGGGCUACACUUUCUAUUCUAGAAAAAACGAAAAACUAUUUAUGAAAAUCUAGUUGGAAGGCGGAUUUAGCAGUAAAAAGAAAUCAACAUGUUCAUUUUAACCCGGCACUGGGGUGUGU